AAGCUUGGAUAGAGGGGGAAGAAGGAUGGACGAGGCCAGAGCUUUUCAACGCAUCUUAAAGAAAGAAUAACGAGAUUGUUAGAAUCCACAAAACAUCGCUUUUGUUCGUGAGUUUAGACAACUUUUGAAGUGUGUGUUUGAUUAGG